CAAAUCUUCGUCGAGAGAACAGGGAUUGUGUUCGAGGGAUUGCGGUUGGUAUUGCUGCGAUGGUGGUCUUCGAUAAGGGAGUAGAAUUAGUCGGUGACCCAGCCUAGUCUGGUUUAGUAGUGGGGUAGUGGGAGAGACUUCUCGAUGCAAAUAGAUAAAAGAAAGGGGGAAGACUUAAGAAAAUUAAAUUAAUGGAACAUCUAGUAUUAUACAUUUUUUGUCAUUUCACACAGUCACAGUUGUUUUACAUAAAAGUUUACCAAACACUAUAAUACUGCUUUUUUUUUCCAAAAACACUUUUAUAAAAAAGUUUACCAAACACUCUGUAUGGAAUGCCCUGAAUAUUUUAGAAAUGAUGUAGAUAUUCAUGUUAUUGUUUAGGUUGAGGAAAUC
rnacentral:lncRNA from 1 species